AUGGAAGCUCCGGCGGUGGACGAGCAUGGUGGCUCGGUACCUCCUGUUCGAACAGAGAGAAAGAGCGAGCACAGGAUGGAGGAAGGAGAGAACAAGAGGAAGGAUAGGGAGAGGAGGAAGGAAGGGCGGCUCUGGGUAGCUGAUUCCGGCGGGGGUCGCCGGCAUCGAGGUGGCGAGGCGAGGCCGGGUGCGCUGGCUUCUCCAUCACUUCUGGUUCCCCACCGUGGCUGCAGGCCUCCUCUCCCUCUCCAUCUUGCGCUCCUCCUGCUCCACUUCAUGUCCGGCCGUGGCUGGCCACAUCUAAACAGAUUACUAAUACAGUGA
rnacentral:rRNA from 1 species